GGGCAGAUUUGCCUUGGUAUGUGAUGGUGAUCUCUUCGUAGCAGUGGGAGCCACCAUCCCAUUGGUGCGUGUUCAGCGCCACAAUGAAGUCGCUGUCGUGGUCGAACGAGCCGCAAGCAUUAGCACCGACGUUGAAGUAGGUGAAGCGUGUGCCAUCGAAGCGCUUUUCAAUGUGGCCAUCGGUUUCGUUGAGGGAGAGGCGGCGAUGGGCGUGGUUGAGGCCGCGGUGCUCGUGGGAAGGGUCGGCGAGAACGAGAACAGAGGCCAGAGCAGC
rnacentral:misc_RNA from 1 species